CCCACAGCAGAUGUCAAAUACAUCGUUCAGUACCGAAGAGCCGAAACCAAUGGCACAUGGUUAGAGACUGCAGUGGACCAGGGCGCUCGGGUCACCCUCGCUGGCCUCCGACCUUGGGUCGCGUAUCAACUGAGAGUGUCCGCUGUGAACGACGUGGGGAGAAGCAAGCCUAGCCCAGUCAUAGAGGUACAAACGGACGAGGACCUUCCGGAGGGCUUCGUGCGAUCAGCUGAGCUGACAGCCUUAACACCGACUUCACUGCGAGUUUCCUGGGAGCCGAUAGACCCCGACCUGGUCAACGGGAACAUCCUCGGCUACAACGU